GGGUUGUGAGGUUAAGCGACUAAGCGUACACGGUGGAUGCCCUGGCAGUCAGAGGCGAUGAAGGACGUGCUAAUCUGCGAUAAGCGUCGGUAAGGUGAUAUGAACCGUUAUAACCGGCGAUUUCCGAAUGGGGAAACCCAGUGUGAUUCGUCACACUAUCAUUAACUGAAUCCAUAGGUUAAUGAGGCGAACCGGGGGAACUGAAACAUCUAAGUACCCCGAGGAAAAGAAAUCAACCGAGAUUCCCCCAGUAGCGGCGAGCGAACGGGGAGCAGCCCAGAGCCUGAAUCAGUGUGUGUGUUAGUGGAAGCGUCUGGAAAGGCGUGCGAUACAGGGUGACAGCCCCGUACACAAAAAUGCACAUACUGUGAGCUCGAUGAGUAGGGCGGGACACGUGGUAUCCUGUCUGAAUAUGGGGGGACCAUCCUCCAAGGCUAAAUACUCCUGACUGACCGAUAGUGAACCAGUACCGUGAGGGAAAGGCGAAAAGAACCCCGGCGAGGGGAGUGAAAAAGAACCUGAAACCGUGUACGUACAAGCAGUGGGAGCACGCUUAGGCGUGUGACUGCGUACCUUUUGUAUAAUGGGUCAGCGACUUAUAUUCUGUAGCAAGGUUAACCGAAUAGGGGAGCCGAAGGGAAACCGAGUCUUAACUGGGCGUUAAGUUGCAGGGUAUAGACCCGAAACCCGGUGAUCUAGCCAUGGGCAGGUUGAAGGUUGGGUAACACUAACUGGAGGACCGAACCGACUAAUGUUGAAAAAUUAGCGGAUGACUUGUGGCUGGGGGUGAAAGGCCAAUCAAACCGGGAGAUAGCUGGUUCUCCCCGAAAGCUAUUUAGGUAGCGCCUCGUGAAUUCAUCUCCGGGGGUAGAGCACUGUUUCGGCAAGGGGGUCAUCCCGACUUACCAACCCGAUGCAAACUGCGAAUACCGGAGAAUGUUAUCACGGGAGACACACGGCGGGUGCUAACGUCCGUCGUGAAGAGGGAAACAACCCAGACCGCCAGCUAAGGUCCCAAAGUCAUGGUUAAGUGGGAAACGAUGUGGGAAGGCCCAGACAGCCAGGAUGUUGGCUUAGAAGCAGCCAUCAUUUAAAGAAAGCGUAAUAGCUCACUGGUCGAGUCGGCCUGCGCGGAAGAUGUAACGGGGCUAAACCAUGCACCGAAGCUGCGGCAGCGACGCUUAUGCGUUGUUGGGUAGGGGAGCGUUCUGUAAGCCUGCGAAGGUGUGCUGUGAGGCAUGCUGGAGGUAUCAGAAGUGCGAAUGCUGACAUAAGUAACGAUAAAGCGGGUGAAAAGCCCGCUCGCCGGAAGACCAAGGGUUCCUGUCCAACGUUAAUCGGGGCAGGGUGAGUCGACCCCUAAGGCGAGGCCGAAAGGCGUAGUCGAUGGGAAACAGGUUAAUAUUCCUGUACUUGGUGUUACUGCGAAGGGGGGACGGAGAAGGCUAUGUUGGCCGGGCGACGGUUGUCCCGGUUUAAGCGUGUAGGCUGGUUUUCCAGGCAAAUCCGGAAAAUCAAGGCUGAGGCGUGAUGACGAGGCACUACGGUGCUGAAGCAACAAAUGCCCUGCUUCCAGGAAAAGCCUCUAAGCAUCAGGUAACAUCAAAUCGUACCCCAAACCGACACAGGUGGUCAGGUAGAGAAUACCAAGGCGCUUGAGAGAACUCGGGUGAAGGAACUAGGCAAAAUGGUGCCGUAACUUCGGGAGAAGGCACGCUGAUAUGUAGGUGAAGUCCCUCGCGGAUGGAGCUGAAAUCAGUCGAAGAUACCAGCUGGCUGCAACUGUUUAUUAAAAACACAGCACUGUGCAAACACGAAAGUGGACGUAUACGGUGUGACGCCUGCCCGGUGCCGGAAGGUUAAUUGAUGGGGUCAGCGCAAGCGAAGCUCUUGAUCGAAGCCCCGGUAAACGGCGGCCGUAACUAUAACGGUCCUAAGGUAGCGAAAUUCCUUGUCGGGUAAGUUCCGACCUGCACGAAUGGCGUAAUGAUGGCCAGGCUGUCUCCACCCGAGACUCAGUGAAAUUGAACUCGCUGUGAAGAUGCAGUGUACCCGCGGCAAGACGGAAAGACCCCGUGAACCUUUACUAUAGCUUGACACUGAACAUUGAGCCUUGAUGUGUAGGAUAGGUGGGAGGCUUGGAAGUGUGGACGCCAGUCUGCAUGGAGCCGACCUUGAAAUACCACCCUUUAAUGUUUGAUGUUCUAACGUUGACCCGUAAUCCGGGUUGCGGACAGUGUCUGGUGGGUAGUUUGACUGGGGCGGUCUCCUCCUAAAGAGUAACGGAGGAGCACGAAGGUUGGCUAAUCCUGGUCGGACAUCAGGAGGUUAGUGCAAUGGCAUAAGCCAGCUUGACUGCGAGCGUGACGGCGCGAGCAGGUGCGAAAGCAGGUCAUAGUGAUCCGGUGGUUCUGAAUGGAAGGGCCAUCGCUCAACGGAUAAAAGGUACUCCGGGGAUAACAGGCUGAUACCGCCCAAGAGUUCAUAUCGACGGCGGUGUUUGGCACCUCGAUGUCGGCUCAUCACAUCCUGGGGCUGAAGUAGGUCCCAAGGGUAUGGCUGUUCGCCAUUUAAAGUGGUACGCGAGCUGGGUUUAGAACGUCGUGAGACAGUUCGGUCCCUAUCUGCCGUGGGCGCUGGAGAACUGAGGGGGGCUGCUCCUAGUACGAGAGGACCGGAGUGGACGCAUCACUGGUGUUCGGGUUGUCAUGCCAAUGGCACUGCCCGGUAGCUAAAUGCGGAAGAGAUAAGUGCUGAAAGCAUCUAAGCACGAAACUUGCCCCGAGAUGAGUUCUCCCUGACUCCUUGAGAGUCCUGAAGGAACGUUGAAGACGACGACGUUGAUAGGCCGGGUGUGUAAGCGCAGCGAUGCGUUGAGCUAACCGGUACUAAUGAACCGUGAGGCUUAACCUUACAACGCCGAAGGUGUUU
rnacentral:rRNA from 2 species